rnacentral:rRNA from 1 species
UUCCGGUUGAUCCCGCCGGAGGCUACCGCUAUUGGAGUUCGAUUAAGCCAUGCGAGUCGAGAGUCCUCGGGACUCGGCGUACCGCUCAGUAACACGUGGGUAACCUGCCCUAUGCUGGGGAAUAACCUCGGGAAACUGAGAACAAUGCCCCAUAGCCCACUACGCCUGGAACGGUGAGUGGGUCAAAGCUCCGGCGGCAUAGGAUGGGCCUGCGCCGUAUCAGGUUGUAGGGGGUGUAAAGUACCCUCUAGCCAUCAACGCGUACGGGUGUUGGGAGACAUUGCCCGGAGAUGGAUUCUGAGACACGAAUCCAGACCCUACGGGGUGCAGCAGGCGCGAAAACUUGGCAAUGCGAGAAAUCGUGACCAGGGAACUCCAAGUGCGUAGGGUAAGACCUACGCUUUUCUUGACUCUUCAAAGGUCUUGGAAUAAGGGGUGGGUAAGGACGGUGCCAGCCGCCGCGGUAAUACCGGCGCCUCAAGUGGUAGUCGCUUUUAUUGGGCCUAAAACGUCCGUAGCCGGUCUGGUGCAUUCGUGGGUAAAUCAACCCCGCUCAACGGGUUGAAUUCUGCGAGCACGGCCAGACUUGGGACCGGGAGAGGUGUGGGGUACUCUCAGGGUAGGGGUAAAUCCUGUCAUCCUGAAAG